rnacentral:rRNA from 1 species
UAGGGAAUUUUCGCAAUGGGCGCAAGCCUGAACGAGCAAUGCCGCGUGAGUGAGGAAGGUCUUAGGACUGUAAAGCUCUGUUGCCGGGGAAAAAGGGGAAAUGCAGGGAAUGGCAUUUCAUGGAUGGUACCCGGCCAGAAAGCCACGGCUAACUACGUGCC